GAUGAGCAAUGAAAAUGCUUAUUGGAUUUUGGAUACACGUCCAGAGCUACUACGACACAGCUCAGCACAGCAGCUGCAAGAGGCAGCAGCUCAACUUUUUUUCCUGACUUGACUUUUGGCUGGUUUGGGUCAGAAUGGCUAACUACUGGUCUGUUCAGGUUUUCUGUGGUGUUUUAUCCACCAUGCUCUUGGUCAUGGGGGCACUGGAUGGUGGGAUGGAAUGUACAGAGAAGGACAGAUUACUGACACAGAUAUCCAAAGAUCUGGACCCACCGUCGGAGUGUGUGCUAGGCUGUACUGUACUGACUUACAGAGCCAUGCUGGAGACACAAAAUAUACCCACUGUACGCUUCAAAGACUCUACAGCAGGUGAGCAUGGAGAAUACUGCUGGUCCAGGAGAACGAAGUGUAGUCCCGGAGAGAGCCUGCUUCAUGCCUACAUCGUGUUACCUGUGGAUGUGUCGCUGGUUAACGAGGAAACCCUUGGAUUGAAAGCUACUCUCCCCCACCAUAACAACAUACUAACUCCUCACGACGGUCCCACGCCACUUUCCAAACUCUGUGGUCUCCGCUUUGACAUCACAGACCAGUUCACCGUGACAAAGAGAUUGCCAACGUUCUGUGUGCAGGUUGUCCCACAGCAGAGCACUUUGGGAAACGGAAUUCCUAUUAGAUGCCCACCUUUCUUGGUGACGAUGUGGCAGAGGCUGAAUAAGUAACCUACAAAGCAAUGGAGGGGGGGGAUGAAAAGGACUUGUUAAGCCGACGACCAUCCAAAAUGUUUAAUGGCAUCAAGGUUAGUUUGUCAGAAUUGUUAGGUAACCCUUCUCCUAUUGUAAAUGCAUCUGGAUCUGAUAGUCUUGCUUAUUUCACAGCUAUCUAUCUCGUCAGCAACAUAUUGUAUAUAACAUAGUGUUUCUUCAUAUAUUGAUUUAGCAGCGGUCCCCCCCCCCCCCAAAAAAAAAUAGAGUGACAAGUUACAACGUAUAUUUUGUCUUUAGAUUCUCGCUACAAUUGUCACUGCUGCUGAAUGAAACCCUUAGGGAGGACGACGCUGUAACAACUCACAGUAGGUUAUAUCAUGUUUAUGGAAAAGAAAAAAGGAUGUCCGAUUCAAAUGGAAAGUCAGUUGAAACAACGGAUUGUCCGAUGAAAUACCCAGAACUCUUUGACACAAGACUGUUGACUAAAUGGAGUACUUUCAACGAUGACUUGAAAUGGACUCAGUUUGGAAUGAGAAGAACGAGAGGUAAAUGUAUGGAAGGUGAAAAUUAACCGUUGUAUUUGAUAGAUAGAUAGAUAGAUAGAUAGAUAGAUAGAUAGAUAGAUAGAUAGAUAGAUAGAUAGAUAGAUAGAUAGAUAUAUUGAUAGAUAGAUAGAUAGAUAGAUAGAUAGAUAGAUAGAUAGAUAGAUAGAUAGAUAGAUAGAUAGAUAGAUAGAUAGAUAGAUAACAAUAUCAUUGUUAAUAUGCUGUAUGGAUGUAUGCUUUGGGGUCGAUAGUUGAUUCUAGAUUGAGAUAAUAUUUCAAAUAAUAUGGAUUUGAGGGCUUUGUGUUCAUUUGUGCUCUAUUGUGUGGAGCAAACAUUUGAUGGCACAUAUGUAUAUAGAAUGUAUAAGCUUCUUAUAAGAAAUAUACGUGGCUGCUAAUUUAAGUGUGUGAACACCAGAAACUGUCCUAAAAAGCACAUUUAUUUUUAUUUAACUUUUAUUAUAUUUACUUUAACUUCUAUUUUUUAUUUACUUUAAUUUGCUAUAACACCACACUAAUUGGUUUGAUGUAACCUCUGUAAACUGUGAGCUGUACUCGAAUGUUUUUCCAACCAUGUCAAGUAUCCACAACAUUAAAACAACUUCACAUGA